CUAUAUUUCUCAAAGGUACUGAGCAUGCACAGUUUCUGUUCGCUUCAAAAAUCAGGCCAUGAAAGAAUCAUAAAUAUAUAAUAUUAUACUCCUAUGAUAUUAUGAGUGGAGAGCAGGAGAGUUAAAUGCAUACAUUGAGGAGAGGCAAAUUACAUAGAAAGGGCCUUACUGCGCGAUUGUCGAGCGAUUCUAAAAUGAAAUAUUUUAAAAUCCUUCCCAGAAUAAAUUUAAUUCCUGCAUGCUUGUUCCAGUAGGCAAGGAAGUCUGCUGGAUAUCUAGCAACAAUUCGCAGACUUAGGGCAGCCUUUAGUGCUCAUAGUGACUUUAGCACUGAUAAAACAGUUUUUUUUUUAAAUGCUGAGCUGAAAAAUAAAAAAUCCAUUCUAUAAAAGAGCAUUGACAUUUUGGCAUUUGUUUUAUGACAGAAUGAAAUAAAGGGCAUUGCAACAUUUUCUGGAGGAAAUACAGGAAUGUAUCUCACACCAGCCCAGCAGACCAAAGCAGAGGCCAAACUUGAACCCAGGCCUCCAUGUGUGAGCUCAGUGAUCUUCUUUCAACUGUGCUGAGAUGUACCCUCCAACUCGUCUUAAAACGUGGAACUGCUGUACAUUGCCUGUGGGAAAAAAGCCUGAAGCCACAUAGUGAUGUAUCUCUUCAACAGUGUGAAAGAGAAAUUCCCUAUUCAGAGUCUUGCACAGUCAACAUUACCUGCUGGUAAACUCUAAAUUGCCUCAGUUGCUUAACACCAUGAUUAAAAGGCAUUUGUUUUUUU